AUCCAGUGUACAAACUGUCUAGUACAAGGAUGUGUAAAUGAGUCUAGCUGUUGAUAAUGUGCAUGAAAUGACUUAAAUGUGGAAACUUCCUCAAAACAAGCAAACUGACAACUCUAAAAAAGUGAAUGCUGGUAUGCGCAAAUCAUCACGAAAAGGAAUUGAAAUUACACUUUGGAGACUCCUUUGCUAUUUUUGAUGAAACCAAACAACUGUAAAAUCAAACAAAAAUGGUUACUGGUAGCCGCCAGUGAAACUUUAAGUAGAGCGGUGCAAAUUCCCAAUGUUUAUUACAUUCAUGGGGCUCUUGCAAGUCUUUCGUCAAUCUCCAAUGUUCCGAGAACUGGCAUCGCUCUGCAGUAACAAUUUACCUGCCUACAACCUACAUCUACAGACUGUCUCCAGGCAUGACAGACGACCAUGGGUCCUACUACUACAAAUAUUUUGAAGACUCCCUGUUUGAUGGAUAUUUCAAGAAUUUUGCUGAAACAAUGGCUGCUCGACAGACAGAAAAAAUGAUCCCUGCGUUAUUCUUAUCUACGUGUAGGUACUAUACUAUGGGUACUUAUAUAUGCUCGCUUAACCAACUGUAUACUAAUUCGACUGCAAUCAAGAGCAGUACUAUAAUUCUAAGUCACCUAUGAUAAUAUUAUGUAUCCAUACUACUAAUGAUUUUGUAUGCGCGCUGCUUAGCGUGUUAAAUAUCUUAAUCGAUUUUCAUGAAAUUAUUUGAGCAACUGUGAUAAUGUCUAAGAGGCCUGGCUCUAGUUGAUAUUAGCAAUGACUAUAAACAGUAAACUACAUAUUUCAGCUCCAUACUUGAUAAAUGUUGUGACUUUUAGGUUUCCAUAUCGAAGAGUAUGUAGAUAAAUGUUCAUACAUGGGUGGCACUCUUACCCACACUUCCUAUCCUACAGUUAUGUAUGAGAUUCUGUUACUGUUAUCAUAAACUAUCUUAA